rnacentral:rRNA from 1 species
UGGGGAAUUUUGGGACAAUGGGCGCAAGCCUGAUCCAGCCAUGCCGCGUGCGGGAAGAAGGCCUUCGGGUUGUAAACCGCUUUUGUCAGGGAAGAAAUCUUCUGAGUUAAUACCUCGGGAGGAUGACGGUACCUGAAGAAUAAGCACCGGCUAACUACGUGCCAGCAGCCGCGGUAAUACGUAGGGUGCAAGCGUUAAUCGGAAUUACUGGGCGUAAAGCGUGCGCAGGCGGUUUUGUAAGACAGAGGUGAAAUCCCCGGCUCAACCUGGGAACUGCCUUUGUGACUGCAAGGCUUGAGUGCGGCAGAGGGGAUGGAAUUCCGCGUGUAGCAGUGAAAUGCGUAGAUAUGCGGAGGAACACCGAUGGCGAAGGCAAUCCCCUGGGCCUGCACUGACGCUCAUGCACGAAAGCGUGGGGAGCAAACAGGAUUAGAUACCCUGGUAGUCCACGCCCUAAACGAUGUCAACUGGUUGUUGGGAAGGUU